ACAAACUGUAGAUAAAGUUUCAAGUAUAAUUAAAUUAAAGGAAAUAUCUGAAUUACUUUGAAACAAGGACAAAAUGAAAAAUUUUCGUUUUGUAUUUUAGUUUUAAUAAGAAUAUACUCAUUUUCCUUUUCGGGUAUCAUUACAGUUUUACUAUGUUUAAAAAUGAGUUCGAGUUUUAAAUCUAACUACCUGAUUUAAAAGACAAACAAAACCAAAACAGUAUAUAACACAUACCGGUGGGUCUGACACGGUGCGCAAUUCUGUAUGUCACUUAUAGCGUACAUAUACAGUGACGUAAAUGACAAAAUUUAUUUUUAUGGUGGGACAGAACAGCAAAAUUCGAAGAAGUUCAAGCUGACUUGACGCCUGAAUGUUCAAUGCUACGAAUGCAAGAAAAGCGGUGAUGAUUGCAGCGAUAACAGUGAUUAUAGCCAGGAAUGCCACUAAGGCCGUGGCAAAUGCCAGGCGCUUCAACAAAUAUGAUCUUCUGGACAUGCCUGAUCCCUCAGAAGACUUUCUGGAAUGAAGAGAACACCCUUUGCUCCACAGGCUUUAAUUGACUUUUUUUUCCCCUUUAACUGGCCUCCAGUAGUCACAGAUGUUGCAUAAAUGCACCCACAACACACUGGUUGUUAAUAAACAAUGAUGAUGAAGAGGGAAAAACGUCAAUGAAUAUUAGAAUAAAAACAGUCCAUCUGAAA